rnacentral:lncRNA from 10 species
GCUACCCAGAAGGCUCUGGGACCCGUGCGCGGCGCCGCAUGAGGCGCCUCAGAGUGACGUCACGAGGCGCUCAGCCAAUGACGACGGGGAGGGAGUCGUUGACUCCUUCCCCCUCCCCCUUCCCAGCCCCCGUCAGGCACUUUUCGCGGCAAAGGCGAAGGGCAGCAGUUCCGGAAGUGACUGCUCUUAUAGCGUGGGGCGAAGGGCCACCGAAACUCGUGGGGGCGUUGGACGAAGCGAGUCCAAAGGGACGGCAUCUGCCUUCGGUACCUAGCACCCCCAGCAUGCCACGCGGCGCCUACAGCUCCCAACAUGGAGCGCGGCCGCCACGCCCGGGACUCAACCUUUGCCAGCGAACUGCAAGUCCCAUGGUGCACCGCUGCCGGAAGUGGCCUGCGCCGCGGGCCUACCCGGAACGGCGCGUGGGCCCGGGCAGAAGCUGCUGGCGGUAGGCUCGCCUUGACUCCUUGGUGGUUCCCUGGCCGCGGCGACCGGUGGUCCCACGUCCAGCCGGGCUCAGUGAGGUGAGCCAGCCGCCUCGGACUUAGCGACUGCGGCCCUAUCUGGGAGGCCGCCCCCGCACUGCGGUGUCAGGGCAUCCUGUCAGAGGACGAGCGCGGGCCUUGGAGGGCAGGACAAUGACGUGAGGCAGCGUCGCCCGCUCACCCCUGCGAGGAGUGAGGUCUGAGUGGUCAGCCCCUGCGCUGGCCGCUUUGGCCCGGAACUGACCUCGGUGUCCAUGUGGACAUCAGCACCUCAGGGACCCCGCUACAUUCUCGGGUCCUGGGAGGGAACAGGGUUGGCCCUGCCUCCUAAGGACUUGAGUUCUUGUGCGAGGACGCAGGAGGUGAAUAGGGAGGCGAUCCGAAGGACAGGGACAGAGGGAGACUUGGUCCUCUGGGCAGCCUGAGAAAGCUUGAGCUGAGAGAUGAGAAGGAGCCAUCCCUGCCAAUAUCCCGGGCGAGCACCAGGAACAGGGUCAGAUGCAGGUAUCUACCGUGUUAGCAGGCAGCGCCAGCUCCCGUUGGGCUCUAACAGCAGUGCAAACCCUGGGGUGUGUAUACGUCAAGCACUGGAACUCGACUUCACAGUCGCCUUCUGUGGCCUCGUUAUCAUUACCCCCAUUUUAUAGAUGAGGCAGUUGGGUACAGAAAGGUUUUUUUGCUCAGGGUCACACAUCUGGGGUAAAGGCGGGAAACCAUCUUGGGAACAAUGGGACUUUUCUUAUUUUGUAAUUUUUGAGACUGGGCCCCAUUCUGUCGCCCAGCCUGGAGUGCAGUGGCUCGAUCACAGCUCGCUGCAGCCUCAACUUCCUGGGCUCAGGUGAUCCUCCCACCUCAGCCUCCUAGCGGAGACCACAGGCGUGUGCCACCACACCCGGCUAAAAUUUUUUGGUAGAGACAGCGUUGUCCAACAUGGGCUCAAGCGAUCCUCCCACCUGGGCCUCCCAAAGUGCUGGGAUUACAGGCGUGAGCUACCGCGCCCGGCCCCAACUUUUUUUUUUCUUUUUUUCUGAGGAGUCCCACUGUUCCCCAGGUUGGAGUGCACUGGU